AUGCUGAAAAAACUCUUUCAAGUCCUGUGCUUCUUUGCUUUUUUCACUCUGGCAUGUUUUGUGGUGCUUCUAUACUUUAUAAACGACAGCACUUUAACUCAGUUUAAACAAUCAGAUGAUAAGGUAAACAAGACAGUUCCUCAAUGGACCAAAGAACCACAGAAUGGAUCCCUUAAUCUCACCAAAGAAAAGACAGUGAUGGCACCCACUCCAAGGAAGGGUUUGGAACCUUGCCCUGACACCUCCCCGCAUCUUGUGGGUCCCCUCUUUGUGGAGUUUAAUAGCAAAAGAUCCUUGGAUGAUAUCAGAAAGGAUAUGGGUCCCGUUCUGAAGGAGGGAGGACGAUACAAGCCUCCAGACUGCAUCGCCCUGCAGAAGGUGGCCAUCAUCAUUGCAUUCAGAAAUCGGCAUGAGCACCUGAAGCACUGGCUGUUUUAUCUCCAUCCCAUACUGAUACGACAGCAGUUGGACUACACAGUGUAUGUUAUCAACCAGGACGGAGACGGAGUGUUCAACCGGGCUAAACUGAUGAAUGCCGGCUAUGUGGAAGCGCUGAAGGAAUAUGAUUAUGAUUGCUUCGUCUUCUCUGAUAUAGAUUUGAUUCCCAUCGAUGACCGUAACCUCUAUAGAUGUUUUGAAAAUCCAAGACACUUGGCCGUAGCUAUGGACAAAUUUAAUUUCAGGUUACCCUACAACACCUUCUUUGGCGGGGUUUCUUCAUUGUCCAAGAAGCAAUACUUGAAGAUCAAUGGCUUCCCAAACACUUACUGGGGCUGGGGGGGUGAGGACGAUGACAUCUAUAAGAGAAUUGACUACCGUGGGAUGUCCAUCUCUCGACCGGACUCUGUGUUGGGAAAGUACAGGAUGAUCAAACAUCAGAGAGACUUGCACAAUGAGGUUAAUCCAAAGAAUCCGGGUAAACUGAGCCACACUCUUAAUAACAUGGAUAAAGAUGGGCUUAAUACCCUCAAAUACACAGUCAAGGAGAUUGUGAAGGAUGUUCUGUUCACAUUUAUCACUGUGGAUAUUGAUGCUCCGUCAAGCUAAAGGAAAGAGGAACCUGCGAAACUGGAAAUGCUGUUGACUUUUGAAUUAUCGCUGUGUGUGUGUGUGUGUGUGUGUGUGUGUGUGUGUGUGUGUGUGUGUGUGUGUGUGUGUGUGUGUGUGUGUGUGUGUGUGUGUGUGUGUGUGUGUGUGUGUGUGUGUGUGUGUGUGUGUGUGUGUGUGUGUGUGUGUGUGUGUGUGUGUGUGUGUGUGUGUGUGUGUGUGUGUGUGUGUGUGUACAAUUUGCAUAUGACAAUCUAACUUUGAAUAGAAAAAUGUGAAGGUACUGACAGUGGAUUAAAGUAAAUCGUUUUUUUAAGAAGAGUUGGACACAAUAUUACUAUUUUAUAUACUUAAUGGAGUAUUUGGUAUUGAUGUUAUAAUGUGUGCAAUCUUAAUAGUUUACAAAUGGUAUCAGAAUGUAAUUUUUAUUGUCUUUUAUCAGGUAAAAUACAGUUUAUCAUAUACUUCCUCUUGCACAAAGUAAUGAUAAAAUAACCCACAUUAUACAUUACUAAUACUAAGUAAAUAAAAUGAUCAUGAUAUUGUUCGGAAAGAGUAAAAAACGAUUAACUUAACUUUAAUUUACUACCAUUAUGACCUUUAGUAAUGAUGUACACUGUCACCAUUAUGUGUUGGCAAAUGAUCGGGUGAAGGGUAUUUUAUUCAUCAUUCAACACAAUACUUUGUAAAUGGGAUGAUUUUGUACUGACACAUUUGUCUUAACUGUAAGCAAACAAUUUAUUGUUUUUGUACUUCAGUUUGCUGUGUAGUUGUGUCCUGUGAAUACUUGAAAGUGUGAUGAAAUCAAAAAUGGGUAAAUACAUGUUAUAGUGGUGGGGAUGAACAGAUUGAUUUAUCUUUAUAUUGGAAAGAUGGGUUUACUGCUUUUGAUGUGAUGAUUGUGCCUUUGUUUUGUGAACUCUAGCAAUGUUUCGGAAACUUUUAUAAAGAUUUAAAAAAACAA